GGCCAUAAUUCAGUGGUAGAACAUCUGCUCUGCAUGCAGAAGACCCAGGUUCAAUCCCAGGCAUCCCCA